rnacentral:lncRNA from 1 species
GGAAGUGUUUAUUCUCAGACUGCUUCUGACAACUAUGGUCCUGCAGGACAAGUCUUAUUUGAAGGGUUUUAUGAGAAAAUCCCGGCUAAGAGACUUGGAGUUCCUGAGGAGAUCUCCCCCUUGGUGUGCUUCCUGCUAUCUCCGGCAGCUUCGUUUAUCACUGGACAGGUGGUGGAUGUGGAUGGAGGCCAAUCUCUGAAUCUGCAAGGCUUUGAGAUAGCAGAUCAUGACAACUGGCCUGAAGGAGCGGGGGACCUUUCAGUUGUCAAAAGGAUGAAGGAGUCUUACAAGAAGAGAGCCAAGCUCUAAGCUAAGGAAACAUGGAAGUGUCCUUUGUCCCCAAGUGCCUUAACAUCUUGAGCAUGUACUUCUGUACUUUAUGGGAACUUAAUUUGCUUUUUUAAUAUUAUCAAUUACAACUAUGCAAAAACUCUUGCUAAAAUAAAUGCAUUUUCUUUUGGCCACGCCUGUGGCAUGUGGACGUUCCCCAGGCCAGGGAACAAAACUGUGCCACAGCAGUGACCCGAGCCACUAUAGUGACAAUGCUGGGAUCCUUAACCCACCUUGCCACAAGAGGAUCAAUAAAUGCAUUUUUAAGUCCCAACCAAUGCCCUUCAACUUGUGAUCAGAAACAUUUUUGAUGAAUGGGAGUUCCUGACGUAGUUCAGUGGUUGAUGAACCCGACUAAUAUCCAUGAGGAUGUGGGUUCAAUCUCUGGUUCUGCUCAGUGGGUUAAGAAUCCAGCAUUGCCAUGAACUGUGGUGUAAGUUGCAGAUGUGGCUCGUAUCUGGCGUUGCUGUGGCUGUAGGUCAGCAGCUACAGCUCUUGUUCGAUCCCUAGCCUGGGAACCUCCACAUGAUGUGGGUGCGGCCCCACCAAAAAAAAAUUUUAGCAAUAGAAAUCAACAUGCGUUGUGCUUUUUUUAAUUCUAAGAAAGGUAUUUGAAAAGUGAAAUAAUUUCAAAUUAAUGACAGAGGUACCAUCAUCUCCCAAAAGAUUUGAAUAUUUAAUUAUAAAGGUAGGCAAUAAAUCUAUUGUGGCAUCAUUUGAUUUUUACAGCAGAAAUAUACCAUGACUCACUGGUGGCACUUUUGGAUUAAUAAAACUGUAUGUGAUAAUUGAGGUAUGAUUUGUUCACGAAGUCAAAUCUGUGUAAGUCCUCUUAACUGAAAAGAAAAAUAAAGUCCUAAGGAGUACUU